rnacentral:rRNA from 1 species
UGGGGAAUAUUGCACAAUGGGGGAAACCCUGAUGCAGCAAUGCCGCGUGAGUGAUGACGGCCUUCGGGUUGUAAAGCUCUGUCUUCAGGGACGAUAAUGACGGUACCUGAGGAGGAAGCCACGGCUAACUACGUGCCAGCAGCCGCGGUAAUACGUAGGUGGCAAGCGUUGUCCGGAUUUACUGGGCGUAAAGGGAGCGUAGGCGGAUUUUUAAGUGAGAUGUGAAAUACCCGGGCUUAACUUGGGUGCUGCAUUUCAAACUGGAAGUCUAGAGUGCAGGAGAGGAGAAGGGAAUUCCUAGUGUAGCGGUGAAAUGCGUAGAGAUUAGGAAGAACACCAGUGGCGAAGGCGCUUCUCUGGACUGUAACUGACGCUGAGGCUCGAAAGCGUGGGGAGCAAACAGG